GGUUUUGUGGCUCAGUGGUAGAGCACUUGCCUUGCAUGUGUGAGACACUAGGUUUAAUCCUCAGCACCA
rnacentral:tRNA from 1 species